UCUCGUAUGCUUCGGGUUUCUCGACUUACGAGCUGUACUUUUGACGAGUUCGUUGUCGUUGAAACCUGCAUGAUACAAGA
rnacentral:pre_miRNA from 1 species